UACGGGGGGGGCAAGCGUUGUUCGGAAUUACUGGGCGUAAAGGGCUUGUAGGCGGCCAACUAAGUCAAACGUGAAAUCCCUCGGCUUAACCGGGGAACUGCGUCUGAUACUGGAUGGCUAGAGUGUGGGAGAGGGAUGCGGAAUUCCAGGUGUAGCGGUGAAAUGCGUAGAUAUCUGGAGGAACACCGGUGGCGAAGGCGGCAUCCUGGACCACGACUGACGCUGAGUGAGCGAAAGCCAGGGGAGCAAACGGG
rnacentral:rRNA from 1 species